rnacentral:misc_RNA from 1 species
GAUGAAGAACGUAGCGAAAUGCGAUACGUAAUGUGAAUUGCAGAAUUCAGUGAAUCAUCGAGUCUUUGAACGCACAUUGCGCCCCCUGGUAUUCCGGGGGGCAUGCCUGUCCGAGCGUCAUUGCUGCCCUCAAGCACGGCUUGUGUGUUGGGCCUCCGUCCUCCUCCCGGGGGACGGGCCCGAAAGGCAGCGGCGGCACCGCGUCCGGUCCUCGAGCGUAUGGGGCUUCGUCACCCGCUCUUGUAGGCCCGGCCGGCGCUUGCCGACACAUCAAUCUUUUUUCCAGGUUGACCUCGGAUCCGGUAGGGAUACCCGCUGAACUUAAGCAUAUCAAUAAGCGGAGGA